GAUGAACGCUGGCGGCGUGCCUAAUACAUGCAAGUCGAGCGAAUGGAUUAAGAGCUUGCUCUUAUGAAGUUAGCGGCGGACGGGUGAGUAACACGUGGGUAACCUGCCCAUAAGACUGGGAUAACUCCGGGAAGCCGGGGCUAAUACCGGAUAACAUUUUGAACCGCAUGGUUCGAAAUUGAAAGGCGGCUUCGGCUGUCACUUAUGGAUGGACCCGCGUCGCAUUAGCUAGUUGGUGAGGUAACGGCUCACCAAGGCAACGAUGCGUAGCCGACCGGACAGGUUGACCGGCCACACUGGGACUGAGACACGGCCCAGACUCCCACGGUAGGCAGCAGUAGGGAAUCUUCCGCAAUGGACGAAAGUCUGACGGAGCAACGCCGCGUGAGUGAUGAAGGCUUUCGUGUCAUAAAACUCUGUUGUUAGGGAAGAACAAGUGCUAGUUGAAUAAGCUGGCACCUUGACGGUACCUAACCAGAAAGCCACGGCUAUUUACGUGCCAGCCGCCGCAGUAA
rnacentral:rRNA from 1 species